rnacentral:lncRNA from 1 species
GGUUGGUUCCUGUGGCGGUAGGUAGGCUGGGAGAGAGGAACUUGUGGGAGCUGGUUUACAGUGUUCUGUCAAUUUUCUACUGUACAGCAAGGUGACCCAAUUGCACAUACAGGAGAAAAACAUCUAAAAUCUGUGAACUCAGAAGUAUCCUGAUGAAGAGCAUGGGCUCUGGAAUCACUCUGCCUUUGGCUUGAAUCCAGACCCUUCACAUGGAAUCACCUCAGGAAAACUCGCCCCACACCAGUUGCUUUGAGAAGUUCAUCUGAAGGAUGAAAGCAGCACACACAGUCACUGCAGAAGAGUAGGUCAAAGAAGAAAUGUGGGCAGGCUUUCGUAGGUGAGAGAAUCUAGCUCCUGACUGUGAAGAGACUAGAAAACCAAGGCACAGAGAGACUGAGUAACCUGCAAAAGAUAUGAAGCCACUAAAUGGGAGAGCCUGGAUCGAUCUGACUCAAGUGAGUCUGGUUCUGGAGAGUCCAUGCUCUGCACUGCCUCCUGUGUGUUUUCUUCCAUUGUCUCUUAGUACUCCAUAGUCUCUUGUUAAAGAGUUAGCCUAUCCCAGGGAGACUUUAAAAUGGUUGUUUUGGGCUAAAGCACUAGAAAAGGUGUUAUCUGGGUUUGAGGGUAAGGUGUGGAGCAUGACCAGGGGAGGGCAGAACGGUCAUCAUCUGCACUAGCUAAUCUAAGGGAAAAGCAAAACCAACAGAGGAGAACAGCUGGUCAGUGUCCCUCCCUGGACAAAAGUUCUCCUUCCAGGGCUCACUGAUUCUACCCAUCUAAGGAAGAAAGCAGCUGCUCAUAGCCCUCUCCUCUCCUUGCCCUCCUCAGGCUUCCAGCUACCCCCUCUUGCUGAAUACUAUUCUUUUUUUCAUCCCUGUGCCACUGUUCUAGCUUUUCUUCUAAUAUUCUGACCACCCUUUUGGUGGUUUAUUUCAUUUCAUGUUAUUUUGUCUUUUUAAGGCCACACCAGUGGCACAUGGAGGUUCCCAGACUAGGGGUCAAAUUGGUCGAAUUAGCCUCCAGCCUACGCCACAGCCAUAGCCACACCAGAUUCAAGCCGCAUCCACAACCUAUGCUGCAGCUUGUGGUAAUGCCCUGGAUCCUUUAACCCACUAAGCAAGGGCAGGAAUUGAACCUGUAUCCUCAUGGAUACUAGUCAUGUUCUUAACCCACUAAACCACAACUGGAACUCUGGUGGGUUUAUUUAUUUAUUUAUUUAUUUAUUUAUUUAUUAGGGUCUAAUUGGAGCUGUAGCUGCCAGCCUACUCCAGAGCCAAAGCAAUGCCAGAUCUGAUCCGCAUCUGCGACCUACAGCACAGCUCGCGGCAAUGCCGGAUCCUUAACCCACUGAGCAAGGCCAGGGAUUGAACCCAAAACCUCAUGGUUCCUAGUCGGAUUCGUUUCUGCUAUGCUAUGAUGGGAACUCCCUGGUGCGUUUAUUUUUAAUUGAGCUUCUUCUACUUGCUACCUUAUAACUGGGUUGUAUCCUGUGUAGCUUCAGUCCUUGGUCUGCAUUGUCUCCUGAUGCUGAGAACUCAUGGGUUUAACUAUCGCUAUGAGGCAAUGUUCUCCAAAUCUAGAGCCUCUUCAGAGUGGCUGAUCCCAUCUCCAGCAAUGGGUGAGGUAUAUUUUUACUCACGUAUCAUUUUACCUCAAAUUUUAGAAAUCCAAAAUGAAGUGAAUUGUCUAUACAUCCUCUUCUGUCACUGUCAGGCAUGGAGGGAUAACCUGGAGUGGACUGGCCUUAUCUCCUCUUGCCUCCAGCCAUGCUGUUGUUCAGCAUGUCUCAUCAUGCCUUCACCUAGCAAGAUUUCAUUUUCUUACUCCCUGCUAUAGAUGGAAUGUUUGCAUCUCUCCAAAAUUGAUAUGUUGAAACCUAAUCCCCAAUGUGACAAUGUGAUGGUAUUUGGAAGUGAGUCCUCAAAAGGGCAAUCAGGGCCUUAGGGUGGAGCCCUUAUGAAUGCGAUUAGUGCCCUUAGAAAAGAGACCUCAGAGAGUUCCCUUGAGCUUUUCACCGUAAGAGUGCACAGUGAAAAGACAGUUGCCUGCAUAUGGAUGGUCUUGAAAAGCCCAACAUCACUAAUUAUUAGAAAAAUACAAAUGAAAACUACAAUGAGGUACCACCUCACACUGGUCAGAAUGGCUAUGAGGUACCACCUCACACUGGUCAGAAUGGCUAUCAUUAAUAAGUCUGCAAAAAACACAUGCUGGAGAAGGUGAGGAGAAAAGGGAACUGGUGGUAGGAAUGUAAAUUGGUAUAACCACUAUGGAAAACAGUAUGAAAUUUCCUCAGAAAACUGAAAAUAGAACUACCAUAUGAUCCAGCAAUCCCACUCCUGAGCAUACAUCUGGACAAAACUAUAAUUCAAAGAGAUACAUGCACCACUAUGUUCACUGAAGCAGUAUUUGCAAUAAUCAAGUCAUGGAAACAGACAUCUAUCAACAGAUGAAUGGAUUAAGAAAAUGUGCAUAUACACAGUAGAUAUUACUUAGCCAUAAAAAAGAACAAAAUAAUGCCAUUUGCAGUUAACGUAGGUGCAACUAGAGAUUAUCAUGCUAAGUGAAGUAAGUCAAACAGAAAGACAAAUACCAUAUUGAUAUCACUUAUAUGUGGACUCUAAAAUGUGGCACAAAUGAUCCUAUCUACAUCAAAAACAGACUCACAGACAUAGAGAACAAACUUGUGGUUGCCAAGGGGAGAGCGGGUAGAGGAGGGAUAGACUAGGAGUUUGGGAUGAGUAAGUAGAUGCAAACUAUUAUAUUCAGAAUGGAUAAACAAUAAGGUCCUACUGUGCAGCCCAGGGAGCUAUAUCCAAUGUCCUGGGAUAGACCAUGAUGGAAAGUAAUAUAAAAGAAAGAAUGUAUAUAACUGAGUCACUGCUAUACAGCAGAAAUUGGCACAACAUUGUAAAUCAACUAUAAUAAAAAAAAAAAAAAAAA